AUAUUCAGCGUUGGUUAGACGGGGUAGACCAUUUGGGUUUGGAAGACGUAUUGUUUACUCGUAAACUUGAUAGAUAUUGAUUAUCAAUUAUAUACAAGUGCUUGAAGGAUAAAUUCAUCAUGCCGGGACCGACAGAAGAGCAGCCCGUUGAUAAAGAUAAAGAGGAAGAUGCGAGGCAGAGGGAGAUAAUGAAUGAAGCUUACCAGAGGAUUCUGGAUGAAAUAAUUGAUCAUGUGAUAGUGAAGGUGAUUUUCAAAGCUGAACCAGCUUAAUGUUUUGGAACUUUGAAGACAACUGACAAGAAGAUUGUUCUUCAUCGCUUUCAAAAUUUAAACCUGUAACUCCUGUGAAUCCAGUUGUAUAUGAAAAAUGGGUUUAUCUGUAAAUUCACCUUUUGGAUUAUUUUAUUAGUGUUACAAUUGUUCAUAGUACAUACAAAUGGAAAUUCAUAAUAUUUUUGAUGCCAGUUAAAUUAUGUGCUUCAAAAUUUUUUAUGUGUAACGUAAGCUGUUUUCUGCUUUAAAAUAUAAUGAUUUGUGUUCAUGUUAUUAAAUUAAAACAUUGAUAUUUUCCUUUCUUUUGUUAUAAUAAAACUUAGUGUUCUGUAAAUGUGUCAUAUAUAUGUAUGAAAUUGAAGUUCUUUUCACAAUGCUCUUGUCCAUUCAAUAAUAAUGUUAACAUGAUUUAAAAAAAAUUUUUUUUCUCAAAUAUGUGUGCAAAAUAAUUUUUAGUGAGUUUCAAACUUUGAAUCAUUAGUUUAUUAUGUCAUGGAUAAUAAUUAAAAAAUUUUUGAUAAUAUUUUUAUUUUUAUAUCAUUAGAGUUUUUAAAUGUCAAUGAAAUUUUAUUCAACAUAUGUAUGAAUGAAUUUUAGGCUUAUUUCACAAUUUGAUUUAUUAAAUAAUCUGGCAUGUAGAAAAUUUGCCAUAUAAGUAUUUUCCUAAAGCUGAGCUGAUUAUGAAUUCAUUAUAAACCCUCUUUCAUAUAUAUUAUAAUGUUGUUUUUUACCCUCGCUAUUUAUUAAAUUUUCCAUUUAAAAACUCUCAUCAACUGAAUUGUGUAUUUUUCAUUUUGUAUUGCAAUUUCAUUUUUUGCCAUGUGUGUAAAAUUAACAAU